rnacentral:rRNA from 1 species
AGAACGAACGCUGGCGGCAGGCUUAACACAUGCAAGUCGAACGGUUGUAGCAAUACAGCAGUGGCGCACGGGUGAGUAACGCGUGGGAACAUACCUUAGAGUUCGGAAUAACAGCGGGAAACUGCUGCUAAUACCGGAUAUUCUCCUCGGAGGAAAGAUUUAUCGCUCUAAGAUUGGCCCGCGUCAGAUUAGCUAGUUGGUGAGGUAAUGGCUCACCAAGGCUCCGAUCUGUAGCUGGUCUGAGAGGACGACCAGCCACACUGGAACUGAGACACGGUCCAGACUCCUACGGGAGGCAGCAGUGGGGAAUAUUGGACAAUGGGCGAAAGCCUGAUCCAGCCAUGCCGCGUGAAUGAUGAAGGCCUUAGGGUUGUAAAGUUCUUUUGCCUAGGGAAGAUAAUGACGGUACCUGGAGAAUAAGCACCGGCUAACUCGUGCCAGCAGCCGC